rnacentral:rRNA from 1 species
AUGGGAAACGUUGAUAAAACACUCUUUGUACUCAAACAUGGCAAUGAUCAACUUUUUGUACAAGUUUAUGUUGAUGAUAUUAUCUUUGGGUGUGCUUCUCAUGCUUUGGUGUCAGAAUUUUCAGAAACUAUGAGCAGGGAAUUUGAAAUGAGCAUGAUGGGUGAACUUACUUACUUUUUGGGACUGCAAAUCAAACAAACAAAGGAUGUCACCUUUGUGCAUCAAAGUAAGUAUACGAAGGAUCUUCUACGGCGCUUUGGGAUGGAAAACCUCAACCCUAUUAUGACACCAAUGGGAUCUACGGCGUCACUUGAUCUUGAUGAGGAAGGUGAAACUGUUGACCAAAAGAUGUAUAGGAGUAUGAUUGGUUCACUUCUUUAUCUCGCUGCUUCUAGACCGGAUAUACAAUUUUCUGUAUGCUUGUGUGCACGGUUUCAAGCUUCUCCACGUGCAUCACAUCUACAAGCUGUCAAGUGGAUCUUCAGGUAUCUACAUGGCACCCAAUCUUUUGGCAUUUGGCUUUCUGCUUCCUCGAGUAUUUCAUUGCGUGCAUUUUCGGACGCUGAUUUUGGAGGUUGUAGAAUUGAUAGAAAGAGUACAUCUGGCACAUGCUUAUUUUUGGGUGAUUCAUUAGUACUUUGGUCUUCUAAGAAACAAAGUUUUGUUGCACAAUCUACUGCUGAAAGUGAAUAUGUAGCUGCUGCUUGUUGUUGCUCACAGAUUUUAUGGAUAAUAGCUACAAUGAAAGAUUAUGGGGUUACUCUAGAAAGUGUACCACUUUAUUGUGAUAACACUAGUGCUAUAUGUAUUGCUAAAAACCCUGUGCAACAUUCUCGAACUAAGCACAUAGACAUAAGAUAUCAUUUUCUUAGAGAUCAUGUUGAAAAAAGAAAUGUUGUGCUACAUUUUAUAGAUACUGAACGUCAAUUGGCAGACAUUUUCACUAAACCAUUGGAUUCUUCUUGGUUUGCUUUUCUUCGAGGUGAACUUGGAGUAAUCAAACCAUACGGGAUGGUUUGA